rnacentral:rRNA from 1 species
CAAUAGCGUAUAUUAAAGUUGUUGCGGUAAAAAAGCUCGUAGUUGGAUUUCUGUUGAGAGCGACCGGUCCAUACCAUGUAUGCGCAUCUGGCUUGCUCUCGGCAUCCUCUCGAUAGACGUUACUGCGCUUGAUUGCGUGGUGCGGAUCUCGGGACUUUUACUUUGAGGAAAUUAGAGUGUUCACGGCAGGCUUUCGCCAGAAUACAUUAGCAUGGAAUAAUACUAUAGGAUCUUGGUUCUAUUUUGUUGGUUUCUAGAAUUGAGAUAAUGAUUAAUAGGGACAAUUGGGGGCAUUCGUAUCAACACGUCAGAGGUGGAAUUCUUGGAUUGUGUUGCGACGAACUACUGCGAAAGCAUUUGCCAAGGAUGUUUUCAUUGA